CAGCCGCCGCGGUAAUACGGAGGGAGCUAGCGUUGUUCGGAAUUACUGGGCGUAAAGCGCACGUAGGCGGUUAUUCAAGUCAGAGGUGAAAGCCCGGGGCUCAACCCCGGAACUGCCUUUGAAACUAGAUGACUAGAAUCUUGGAGAGGUCAGUGGAAUUCCGAGUGUAGAGGUGAAAUUCGUAGAUAUUCGGAAGAACACCAGUGGCGAAGGCGACUGGCUGGACAAGCAUUGACGCUGAGGUGCGAAAGCGUGGGGAGCGAACAGGAUUAGAUACCCCUGUAGUCCCUGUCUCUUAUAC
rnacentral:rRNA from 1 species